CAUCCUCUCUUCCUGCUCUCCUUGCCCUGCUCAUCACUUUCCCCUGGUUUUUUUUUUUUUCCUCCCUUCCUCCCCUCUGCCUCCCUCCACCUCCCCCUUUUCUUUUUUGCUGAAUCUUAUUGAUCCAGAAGGUGGCUAAUUAGCCCUUCCCGUCGUGCCUGGCUCCCACUUCCAGCGCGUCCCCUCCGACCGCUGCAGCCGCCGUCGCCGCCGCCUCCUCCUCCUCCUCCUCCCGGCCGCCGCCGCCGCCGCCGCCGCCUGCUUUGCAUCCCAAUUACAGCCUAGAGCCGCUGCCGCCGCCGCCGCCGCUUCUCCUCCGUGGCCCCUGCCCGCUCCGGGGGCUGUAAACUCCCCGC
rnacentral:lncRNA from 1 species